UGUGCGUCUGGUGUUGUUAUGGUCCAUGCGGAGUAGGGGCGAGAAUGUUGUUCAGUGGUAGUGUGUAAAUGGUAGUGUAGUGCGAGUUACUUUGCGGUGGUAACAUAAUCACAGUUCCACAUUUAAUAUGGCUUCUGAUGACGUUGAUUAUAUGUCAGAUGACAUAUUGGUUCAAUGUGAACAACAGGACAUAAGACCGGGCUUAAUACUUAACCACAGUCAGAAAAGAUCACAUACAAUAUAUAAACAAAAAUUGGUGAAAGAUGCAGAAAAUAAGAAAAUAUUUCCAAGAAAAAGUGUGCUUGAGGAAGAAAGGAGGGACGAAGGACUAAAAGAAGCAAUUUCCAGUGACAAUAAGGGGUUUGCCCUUCUGCAGAAAAUGGGCUACAAACCAGGAUCAGCUAUUGGGAAAUCAGGUUCAGGAAUUGUGGAGCCUGUACCAAUAGCUGUGAAGACAAAUAGAGGAGGUCUUGGGAGGGAAGCAGCAUUGAAAGAAAUUAAAGAACAAAAACUGGCAAUUAAAGCAAGAUUAUUAAAACACAGGAAUCAAUUAAAUGAUAUAGAAAGUUACAGAAGUCAGAUGACAAGAAAAAUGGAAGAACGUCAGAAUGAAGCUGAUCUAAGGAAAAGUCAGAGAAUUUGUGAGCAGCUUGACAAAAGAAAGGACAUUGACAUUCCAGCAGAACCGUGGUUUUGGCCUGAUGGUUGGUCACAAGAGGAAGAAAUUGAGUCAGAUGAAGAGGAGGAGGAGGAAGAAGAAUGUGAUGGGGAUGAGGAGGAGGAGAGCAGUGAGGAAAUAACAUUUCAGACUCCAGAAAAACUGGAAAUAAUCACGUUGUAUCUAAGAAGAACAUAUCACUAUUGCAUCUGGUGUGGAACAGAAUUUGACGAUGAAAAAGAUAUGCAGCAGAAUUGCCCUGGAAGCACAAGGGCAGAUCAUUAGUAGUCUUAUAGUUAUGAAUAAAUAAAUAAAUAAAAAGAAGCACUGGUCAACAUCAGUCGACAUAAGGACUUGGACGACGCUAAGUGGAGCAUGCCCGUCAAGGAUGCAUUGAUGGCGUAACCAGUGUCAUCACUCAGAAAAGCCGAAGCACAAACAAAGCAGGGAGCUCAUUGCCUCAGACUGUGGAAGGGAGAGUGUCAGCAACACCUGAUUCAGCACUUUGAGAAAGUUCAGAGCAGGCACAAAGCUAUCCUGUGAACAGGGCUACGUGUAGUAACUACACUUAGGCAUGUCACAAGAAUGCAUUUCAGGCUGCAAACUUUGCAUAAAAAAAUGUUCUGACCCUCUGAAACAACACAUUAGGCCAGCCAGGAAUGCUGACUGGCUCAGAAAAUAGGAGCACAGUCAGCCACCAGUAAGGUGGCAUCAAGUCAUCGACUGCUAUAAAACCUUCUUCUUCCUUCCAUUCAAUCUGAGUCUUGCCACUCCAUUUGAAUCACCGAUACCAAUGUAUGGUCACCUCUACUAGUUACAGAAUGACUUGGUGAAG